GCCUGUACAUUCUUGUAUAUUCAUUUGCAAGAUGUNGUCGGCGUGCACUUCUCUCCUAGUAGGACGUCGCAACCCGUUGAGUGUUGGUNUACGGCCCAAGUGGGAGCUUUUGAUGAAUUUUAUUCAUUGGAAACCCUUGGUGUUUUCCGACUGACGCUCGUCGGUAUUCGUAUGGUAUUGAGCCGCAUAUUAUAUGCGUCCUUGUCCAUCGCAAGCGAGGUUAGUUUUAUCGAUAGUGCGGACCUAGUGCCGUCGUUGGUACUAAUCAGCUGUUGGUUGUAUGGAAUUCUAGGACUGGCUCGUUGAAAUACCGGUUAGCGAUGCUACUGCUUUGGGUACUUUCAGGACCCGUCUUGAAACACGGACCAAGGAGUCUAACAUGUACGCGAGUCAUUGGGAUUUUUAUAAAUUAAACCUAAAGGCGUAAUGAAAGUAAAGGUCGUCCUUGCGUCGACUGAGGGAGGAUGGGUUAUGUUACGAUAUAGCUCCGCACUCCCGGGGCGUCUCAUUCUCAUGCGAGAA
rnacentral:rRNA from 1 species